rnacentral:rRNA from 1 species
UACGGGGGGAGCAAGCGUUGUUCGGAUUUACUGGGCGUAAAGGGCGCGUAGGCGGUCGUGACAAGUCACUUGUGAAAUCCCCGGGCUUAACCUGGGAACUGCAUUUGUGACUGCAUGGCUAGAGUACGGUAGAGGGGGAUGGAAUUCCGCGUGUAGCAGUGAAAUGCGUAGAUAUGCGGAGGAACACCGAUGGCGAAGGCAAUCCCCUGGACCUGUACUGACGCUCAUGCACGAAAGCGUGGGGAGCAAACAGG